GCCAGCAGCAUACCACCCUGCAUCCCACUGCUGGCUUGCUUCUGAAGCUAAGCAGGGUUGGUCCUUGGAUGGGAGACCAGAUGCUGCUGGAA
rnacentral:rRNA from 1 species